AUGGACGCAAGUCUGACCGAGCAACGCCGCGUGAGUGAAGACGGUUUUCGGAUCGUAAAGCUCUGUUGUAGGGGAAGAACGUGUGUAAGAGUGGAAAGCUUACACAGUGACGGUACCCUACCAGAAAGGGACGGCUAACUACGUGCCAGCAGCCGCGGUAAUACGUAGGUCCCGAGCGUUGUCCGGAUUUAUUGGGCGUAAAGGGAGCGCAGGCGGUUUAGUAAGUCUGAAGUUAAAGGCAUUGGCUCAACCAAUGUAUGCUUUGGAAACUGUUAGACUUGAGUGCAGAAGGGGAGAGUGGAAUUCCAUGUGUAGCGGUGAAAUGCGUAGAUAUAUGGAGGAACACCGGUGGCGAAAGCGGCUCUCUGGUCUGUCACUGACGCUGAGGCUCGAAAGCGUGGGUAGCGAACAGGAUUAGAUACCCUGGUAGUCCACGCCGUAAACGCUGAGUGCUAGGUGUUAGGUCCUUUCCGGGACUUAGUGCCGACGCUAACGCAUUAAGCACUCCGCCUGGGGAGUACGACCGCAAGGUUGAAACUCAAAGGAAUUGACGGGGGCCCGCACAAGCGGUGGAGCAUGUGGUUUAAUUCGAAGCAACGCGAAGAACCUUACCAGGUCUUGACAUCCCGAUGCCCGCUCUAGAGAUAGAG
rnacentral:rRNA from 1 species